rnacentral:misc_RNA from 1 species
UUUCCGUAGGUGAACCUGCGGAAGGAUCAUUCAUAAUAAAGUGUUUUAUGGCACUUUUUAAAAAUCCAUAUCCACCUUGUGUGCAAUGUUAGAUCUCGUCAAUCUUGGCGAGAUUUUUAUACAUCAACUCAUUCUUUAACUAAUUUGUCUGAAAAAUAUUAUGAAUACAUAAUUCAAAAUACAACUUUCAACAACGGAUCUCUUGGCUCUC